rnacentral:rRNA from 1 species
UACGGAGGGUGCAAGCGUUAUCCGGAUUCACUGGGUUUAAAGGGUGCGUAGGCGGAUAGGUAAGUCCGUGGUGAAAUCCUGCAGCUUAACUGCAGAACUGCCGUGGAUACUAUCUAUCUUGAAUGUCGUGGAGGUUAGCGGAAUAUGUCAUGUAGCGGUGAAAUGCUUAGAUAUGACAUAGAACACCCAUUGCGAAGGCAGCUAACUACGCGAUAAUUGACGCUGAUGCACGAAAAGCGUGGGGAUCAAACAGG